AACUUGUUGCAAUGGAUCACGGGGCUCUCGCGUCGAUGAAGAACGCAGCGAAAUGCGAUAAGUAAUGUGAAUUGCAGAAUUCAGUGAAUCAUCGAAUCUUUGAACGCACCUUGAGCUCUUUGGUAUUCCGAAGAGCAUGCCUGUUUGAGUGUCAUGAAAAUAUCAACCUUGACUUGGGUUUAGUGCUCUUGUCCUGGCUUAGAUUUGGCUGUUUGCCGCUCGAAAGAGUCGGCUCAGCUUAAAAGUAUUAGCUGAAUCUGUCUUUGAGACUUGGUUUGACUUGGCGUAAGAAGUUAUUUCGCUGAGGACAAUCUUCGGAUUGGCCGAGUUUCUGGGACGUUUGUCCGCUUUCUAAUACAAGUUCUAGCUUGCUAGACAUGACUUUUUUAUUAUCUGGCCUCUAAUCAGGUAGGACUACCCGCUGAACUUAAGCAUAUCAAUAAGCGGAGGCU
rnacentral:misc_RNA from 1 species